rnacentral:rRNA from 1 species
UACGUAGGAGUCGAGCGUUGUCCGGAAUUACUGGGCGUAAAGAGCGCGUAGGCGGCACGGUACGACCGGUGUGAAAGCCCCCGGCUCAACUGGGGAGGGUCACCGGUAACGGCCGAGCUAUGAGUGCAGGAGAGGGAAGUGGAACUCCAGGAGUAGCGGUGAAAUGCGUAGAGACCCGGAGGAACACCAGUGGCGAAGGCGGCUUCCUGGUCUGCAACUGACGCUGUGGCGCGAAAGCUAGGGGAGCAAACGGG